UACGGGGGGUGUAAGCGUUGUUCGGAAUUACUGGGCGUAAAGGGCUGGUAGGCGGCCAACUAAGUCGGACGUGAAAUCCCUCAGCUUAACUGGGGAACUGCGUCUGAUACUGGAUGGCUUGGAUUCGGGAGAGGAAUGCGGAAUUCCAGGUGUAGCGGUGAAAUGCGCAGAUAUCAGGAGGAACACCGGUGGCGAAGGCGGUGAUCUGGGCCGACACUGACGCUGUAGAGCGAAAGCGUGGGGAGCGAACAGG
rnacentral:rRNA from 1 species